UACGUAGGGGGCGAGCGUUGUCCGAAGUUACUGGGCGUAAAGCGCGCGUAGGCGGCUCUUUAAGUCUGGCGUGAAAGGUUCAGGGCUCAACCCGAACAGUGCGCUGGAGACUGGAGAGCUUGAGGACGGGAGAGGGAAGCGGAAUUCCGGGUGUAGCGGUGAAAUGCGUAGAUAUCGGGAGGAAUACCGGUGGCGAAGGCGGCAUCCUGGACCAUUACUGACGCUGAGGCGCGAAAGCUAGGGGAGCAAACGGG
rnacentral:rRNA from 1 species